rnacentral:rRNA from 1 species
AGAGCGAACGCUGGCGGCAGGCCUAACACAUGCAAGUCGAGCGGCCGUAGCAAUACGGCAGCGGCAGACGGGAGAGUAACACGUGGGAACGUGCCCUUUGGUUCGGAACAACACAGGGAAACUUGUGCUAAUACCGGAUAAGCCCUUACGGGGAAAGAUUUAUCGCCAAAGGAUCGGCCCGCGUCUGAUUAGCUAGUUGGUGGGGUAACGGCCCACCAAGGCGACGAUCAGUAGCUGGUCUGAGAGGAUGAUCAGCCUCACUGGGACUGAGACACGGCCCAGACUCCUACGGGAGGCAGCAGUGGGGAAUAUUGGACAAUGGGCGCAAGCCUGAUCCAGCCAUGCCGCGUGGAUGAUGAAGGCCCUAGGGUUGUAAAGUCCUUUCGGCGGGGAAGAUAAUGACGGUACCCGCAGAAGAAGCCCCGGCUAACUUCGUGCCAGCAGCCGC